AGAGUUUGAUCCUGGCUCAGGAUGAACGUUGGCGGCGUGCCUAAUACAUGCAAGUCGAACGGUUCGUUAGUGGCAGCAAGGUUUUCGGACUGAGUUGCCACCGGUGGACAGUGGCAAAUGGGUGAGUAACGCGUAGGUGACCCGCCCCGAAGUGGGGAGUAACUGCUCGAAAGAGCAGCUAAUACCGCAUGAGAUCGGCCAUUCGGUUGACCGAUGAAAGGCUUCGGUCGCUUCGGGAGGGGCCUGCGUCCGAUUAGCUAGUUGGUGGGGUAAUGGCUCACCAAGGCGACGAUCGGUAGCUGGUCUGAGAGGAUGGUCAGCCACACUGGCACUGAGACACGGGCCAGACUCCUACGGGAGGCAGCAGUAAGGAAUAUUCCACAAUGGGCGAAAGCCUGAUGGAGCGACGCCGCGUGGACGACGAAGGCCUUCGGGUUGUAAAGUCCUUUUCUGAGGGAAGAGACAUAGGACGGUACUUCAGGAAUAAGUCUCGGCUAACUACGUGCCAGCAGCCGCGGUAAUACGUAGGAGACGAACGUUAUCCGGAUUCACUGGGCGUAAAGCGCGCAGGCGGUGCUGUAAGUUGGGCGUGAAAUAUCCUGGCUUAACUGGGAUGGGCCGUCCAAGACUGCAGUGCUCGAGGGCAGGAGAGGGAAGCGGAAUUCCCGGUGGAGUAGUGAAAUGCGUAGAUAUCGGGAGGAACACCAGUGGCGAAGGCGGCUUCCUAGACUGUUCCUGACGCUCAUGCGCGAAAGCCAGGGGAGCGAACCGAAUUAGAUACUCGGGUAGUCCUGGCCCUAAACGGUGCGGACUAGGUGUUGGGGGUAUCGACCCCCCCAGUGCCGUAGCUAACGCGAUAAGUCCGCCGCCUGGGAACUACGGCCGCAAGGCUAAAACUCAAAGGAAUUGACGGGGGCCCGCACAAGCAGCGGAGCGUGUGGUUCAAUUCGAUGCGACACGAAGAACCUUACCUGGGCUUGACAUGCACUUGCAAGCGGCGGAAACGUCGCCCUCCGCGAGGACGGGUGCACAGAUGCUGCAUGGCUGUCGUCAGCUCGUGCCGUGAGGUGUUGGGUUAAGUCCCGCAACGAGCGCAACCCCCGUCGCUAGUUAAAUAUCUCUAGCGAGACCGCCGGGAACAACUCGGAGGAAGGUGGGGACGAAGUCAAGUCAGCAUGGCUCUUACGUCCAGGGCUACACACACGCUACAAUGGCCGGUACAGAGGGUUGCCAACCCGCGAGGGGGAGCUAAUCUCACAAAACCGGCCCCAGUUCAGAUUGCAGGCUACAACCCGCCUGCAUGAAGUCGGAGUUGCUAGUAACCGCAGAUCAGCAUGCUGCGGUGAAUGCUGUUCCCGGGCCUUGUACACACCGCCCGUCACGUCAUGAAAGCCGGUAACACCUGAAGCCGGUGGGCCAACCGCAAGGAGGUAGCCGUCGAAGGUGGGACUGGUGAUUGGGACGAAGUCGUAACAAGGUA
rnacentral:rRNA from 1 species